GCCAGUGUGUCGUAGUGGUUUGAGUGUUGGACUAUGACUCUGGUGACCAGGAUUCAAUUCUCUGCUCAGCCA